CCGAGUGCCGUCAAGCACCGCCAAUGACCUGGACGCGUAUGGCAGCGGUGGCGGCGUUCGCCUCGGCAAUUUCGACAUCCGAAUCAAGGAGUGGCGGCGCAAGAACACGACGCUGCACGGGAUCGAACCAGAGGGAUGUGAUCCACCCUGUCCAGAGGGUCAUUUCUGUGUGUGGUUAGGGCUUGUGUAAGUACAAAAGAAGCAGCAGAAGAUUGAAAACAUCAUUCUGUGUGCUGCAUGUAUGUGAUGAUUUUGUGACCAUCAGGAUUGAUUUCUUUUAUUAAGUGGCUCAUCAGAUGUUUGAGAAAAUGGCCAUAAGAGGAUUGAUGAAACUUGAAAGAGGUUGUGGUAUUUCUAGCAGGUUGAGAGGAUAACUCGUGACAGGGUUCAGGUGAAGUAGGAAAGACCCACCAUGACCUGCGAGUUAAUGGUUUUUGGGGGUAUGAACAAUUUAAUGUGUUAUCUCCAUUCAUAGUUUAGUGUACCUAGCUGUUUUCUUUGCAUGUUGAAUAAUAUUGUUGGUACCAGUAGGCCUUUUCCCAGCCCCAGGUAAAUAUCAUGAGGCUACCUGUAAGUUGGAAUCCUACAGCUGCCACCCAUGGCUCAUUUCAAGUAGUAAUUUCAGAGUUAAUUUUCCU